AGAAGCAGAAGAAGACGCAGAAGACAAGAAGAAGAAGUAGAAGAAGACGCAGAAGAAGUAGAAGAAGAAGAAGAAGAAGUAGAAGAAGAAAUCUUUGGUUGACCGACAACUGACAGGCCCGAGCCGAAGCCGAAGCACCGUGACGUGAGGAUCUAAAUGUGGAGGUUCGAACAUAACAUAUUGAUGACGGUCCAAUUAGCACGUAGCCUGCAGAGCGUCUGAUGGUGUCGUGCUGAUGAGCUUCAUGCCUGUAUAUGUGAGGUGAAGGUGUGAUGAAGGUUUCUCCGCCUCACAAACAUGAACGGGGGAACAGAGCUCUCCGCUGCAUGUUAAUGCGAUCAAUCCAACACGUACGCCAGCAGUGAACGAGCUCGAUGCUGCAUGUUAAAAACAACAGAAGACGGACGCUACAGAAACAGAUGAAAAGAAAUCUACUCCACUUACAAGCCCGGAGACACUUUCUCGCAGCGAAGAACGGAUCCGGAGAAGAAGUGACGCCGAGAGGAGCAGCAGAAAACCAGGAAACAGACUGAAGAGGUCGGUGUGUUUACUGGGGAAACUGAGAGUCAGUGAAGCCAAAAUGAAUAACUUGUUUCUAAUCUGAGCAUUCCUGUAACGUUCGGAUUCCCUCAGAUACCAAACAAGACAAGUAUAAAGACACGUAUGUCAUUCUUUGUGUUAACAUUGUACUCCUGUUAGUAAUCCCCCUUUUUUGCUUGCUGUAUCUGUAAUCCAAUUACAUCAUUUAGUAGCUGUAAUCCUUUCUUGUGUCCUGAUUACAGAAUCCCAUUACUUGUGUUUGAGAACACGGAGUCUCUGGAGAAUCACAGACUUCUGACUCAUGUUAUUGCUCCAUUCGCUGCUACAACCCAAGAGCUGCUGUGAUGAGCUAGUGUCAUCAAAGUAAUCUAAAAAAUAAUGUAGUAGACGUCAGACAGAUACGAGAGAGCGUGUGUUCAUGCAGCUCAGUCGUGGACUUCUGAGUCCGGUGUGUGACUGAUGGCGGUCGGGUCGUCUGCUUCACCUUUCCUGCACGGUU
rnacentral:lncRNA from 1 species